CUUUUCUCUCUCUCUCUCUCUUCACUUUUCCUUACCUUUUUUAUUUACCAAUUGAUCUAUUUUCCUUUUCACACCCAACCCAAUUCUCUUCUUUCCACUCACAUCCCACCUAUUUCACUCUUUUCAUUCAUCACUUCAACCUCAUCACCAAACUCACCUUUUUUUUUUCAAAUGUAAGUGAUUCAUUCAUAUUCAUAAUACCAAUUUCAUCUUUCAACUUUAUUUGUUCGACUUUUUUUUAA